GAUGAACGCUAGCGGUGUGCUUAAAGCAUGCAAGUCGAACGUGAUCUCUUGGAUUCGUCUGAGGGUGAAAGUGGCGAACGGGUGAGUAAUGCGUUGGUGAUCUGCCCCGGAGUGGGGAAUAACUAUUGGAAACGAUAGCUAAUACCCCAGAUGUCCUCGUGUUUGGAAAGCGAUGACUAAAGUUCAGGCGCUCCGGGAGGAGCCGACGUCCCAUCAGCUAGUUGGUAGGGUAAUGGCCUACCAAGGCACAGACGGGUAGGGGCGUGAGAGCGUGACCCCCCACACUGGUACUGACACACGGACCAGAUACCUACGGGUAGCAGCAGCUAGGAAUAUUGGACAAUGGGCGAAAGCCUGAUCCAGCAACACCGCGUGGAGGACGAAGGCCUUCGGGUCGUAAACUCCUUUUUGGGGGAUGAGAAAGGACAGUACCCCCAGAAUAAGGCCCGGCUAACUACGUG
rnacentral:rRNA from 1 species